rnacentral:rRNA from 1 species
AUAAGCAAUUAUACAGCGAAACUGCGAAUGGCUCAUUAUAUAAGUUAUCGUUUAUUUGAUAGUACCUUACUACUUGGAUAACCGUGGUAAUUCUAGAGCUAAUACAUGCUAAAAAUCCCGACUUCGGAAGGGAUGUAUUUAUUAGAUUAAAAACCAAUGCCCUUCGGGGCUCACUGGUGAUUCAUGAUAACUCCUCGAAUCGCAUGGCCUUGCGCCGGCGAUGGUUCAUUCAAAUUUCUUCCCUAUCAACUUUCGAUGUUUGGGUAUUGGCCAAACAUGGUUGCAACGGGUAACGGAGGGUUAGGGCUCGACCCCGGAGAAGGAGCCUGAGAAACGGCUACUACAUCCAAGGAAGGCAGCAGGCGCGCAAAUUACCCAAUCCCGACACGGGGAGGUAGUGACAAUAAAUACUGAUACAGGGCUCUUUUGGGUCUUGUAAUUGGAAUGAGUACAAUUUAAAUCCCUUAACGAGGAACAAUUGGAGGGCAAGUCUGGUGCCAGCAGCCGCGGUAAUUCCAGCUCCAAUAGCGUAUAUUAAAGUUGUUGNGGUUAAAAAGCUCGUAGUUGAACCUUGGGCCUGGCUGGCCGGUCCGCCUCACCGCGUGUNCUGGUCCGGCCGGGCCUUUCCCUCUGNGGAACCCCAUGCCCUUCACUGGGCGUGNNGGGGAAACAGGANUUUUNCUGNGAAAAAUUNGAGUGCUCNNGNAGGCCUAUGCUCGAAUACAUUANNAUG